GCGCUCGUAGCUCAGCUGGAUAGAGCAACGGCCUUCUAAGCCGUAGGUCAAAGGUUCGAAUCCUUUCGGGCGCGCCA
rnacentral:tRNA from 1 species